rnacentral:rRNA from 1 species
AGUGCCUACGGGAGGCAGCAGUGGGGAAUAUUGCACAAUGGGGGAAACCCUGAUGCAGCAACGCCGCGUGAAGGAAGACGGUUUUCGGAUUGUAAACUUCUGUUCUUAGUGAAGAAUAAUGACGGUAGCUAAGGAGCAAGCCACGGCUAACUACGUGCCAGCAGCCGCGGUAAUACGUAGGUGGCAAGCGUUGUCCGGAAUUACUGGGUGUAAAGGGUGCGUAGGCGGGCUGUUAAGUCAGCGGUAAAAGCCCGGGGCUCAACCCCGGCGAGCCGUUGAAACUGGCUGUCUUGAGAUGUCGAGAG